GUGCUAAGAAGAGAAAAGCUGCCAAGAAAAAGGCUCAAACGCAAUCCCAUAACAUUGAUGGGUCUCACCUUGAAGCUGCAAUUUCCGAAAAGGUCACUGUUUUCGGGUCACAGGAGCAGUUUUAGCUGAUGAUUUUGAGCUCAAGAUGCAUAAUUUGAACAUCCCUGAGAUGGAGAUGAUGAAAGAGAGGUUUGCAAAGCUGUUGCUUGGAGAAGAUAUGUUAGGAAAAGAGAAAGGGGUUUCUUACUUUCUAUUGCAUUAGCUGUUUCAAAUGCAAUUACGGAGUACUAAUUUAU